UGGGGAAUAUUGCACAAUGGGCGAAAGCCUGAUGCAGCAACGCCGUGUGAAUGAAGAAGGCCUUAGGGUCGUAAAAUUCUGUCCUAAGGGAAGAAAAAGAUGACGGUACCUUAGGAGGAAGCCCCGGCUAACUACGUGCCAGCAGCCGCGGUAAUACGUAGGGGGCAAGCGUUAUCCGGAAUUAUUGGGCGUAAAGAGUACGUAGGUGGCUAUAUAAGCGCAUGGUGAAAGGCAGAGGCUUAACCACUGUUAGCCUUGCGAACUGUAUAGCUUGAGUGCAGGAGAGGGAAGCGGAAUUCCUAGUGUAGCGGUGAAAUGCGUAGAUAUUAGGAGGAACACCAGUGGCGAAGGCGGCUUUCUGGACUGUAACUGACACUGAGGUACGAAAGCGUGGGGAGCAAACA
rnacentral:rRNA from 1 species